GGCUCUGAGACUCCCCGGGGGUACCCUGCGUGGAGGUGCCAGCGGGUCCAGCUCUGCUCCCACCUUCCUGCUUCCAGCCCGGGUCCCAUCCCACCCCCGGGAGCCUCUCCCCCCGUGCCCACACUCCGGUCCCUCACGCGUUAUGAUAACACAUAAGCAGCUUAGAGAAUUCUUAUCGGAAUAAGUUGAGCACAAUGCAACGUUUAACUCUUAAUGACAGCCACCCCUGACUGGGAGUGACAGGGGGGUGGUUGAACGGGGAGGAGGGGACACACGGGCCACCCAACGUUUGCAGGAGGACCUGGAGAGAAGUCCUUCCACCGGGGAAGGGCUGUUGGACGUAUCUGCCCCUGCGGUGGGUACUCGGAGCCUCAGAGGGGCUGGGGGGCGAGCGCCGGCCGUGGGGCAGACCCAGGAGCAUCCCAGACACGCAGGAGGGACCAGGGAUCCCAAACCUUGGUACCGAGUGAGAGCCUGAGGGAAUAGUCAGAAACUCCCCCUGGGGUCCCCCCCACUUUGAACCCAACGCAUGGAGGGGGUGGUUGAACGGGGAGGAGGGGACACACGGGCCACCCAACGUUUGCAGGAGGACCUGGAGAGAAGUCCUUCCACCCAAGAAGGGCUGUUGGAUGGAUCUGCCCCUGCGGUGGGUACUCAGAGCCUCAGAGGGGCUGGGGGGCGAGCGCCGGCCGUGGGGCAGACCCAGGAGCAUCCCAGACACGCAGGAGGGACCAGGGAUCCCAAACCUUGGUACCGAGUGAGAGCCUGAGGGAAUGGUCAGAAAUUUGUAUCUCCCCAGAGGCAAAAAAAAAACCCCAAAUGGACCUCAAAUCAGUGAUAGCCGAAAAAUUAUUUGACUUAAUUUCUACUGGUUUGGGUUUUUUUUUUUUUCACUAUUCCCCACAGGGCCGAGCCCGCCGCAGCUCGCGAUGGCAUCAGCCGGCCCCGCAGGCAGGAUUCUCUGCAGACACAGCCAACCCCCAACAAACCCCUUUUUAUCCUCCUGUUUCUAGGAAGAAUUAUGAUGGUGGUGCCCUGCUGUUGAUCAGUCAAAUCUGUGGUGGGCCUAGAGAUAAGUCCUGUGUGGGUAGGUGGGUCAGCAGACACCUUUCAAAUUGA
rnacentral:lncRNA from 1 species